rnacentral:rRNA from 1 species
UACGAAGGGGGCUAGCGUUGCUCGGAAUCACUGGGCGUAAAGGGCUCGUAGGCGGCGUUUUAAGUCGGGGGUGAAAGCCUGUGGCUCAACCACAGAAUGGCCUUCGAUACUGGGACGCUUGAGUAUGGUAGAGGUUGGUGGAACUGCGAGUGUAGAGGUGAAAUUCGUAGAUAUUCGCAAGAACACCGGUGGCGAAGGCGGCCAACUGGACCAUUACUGACGCUGAGGCGCGAAAGCGUGGGGAGCAAACAGG